rnacentral:rRNA from 1 species
AACGAACGCUGGCGGCAUGCCUAACACAUGCAAGUCGAACGAGACCUUCGGGUCUAGUGGCGCACGGGUGCGUAACGCGUGGGAACCUGCCCUUAGGUUCGGAAUAACUCCCCGAAAGGGGUGCUAAUACCGGAUAAUGUCUUCGGACCAAAGAUUUAUCGCCUUUGGAUGGGCCCGCGUUGGAUUAGCUAGUUGGUAGGGUAAAAGCCUACCAAGGCGACGAUCCAUAGCUGGUCUGAGAGGAUGAUCAGCCACACUGGGACUGAGACACGGCCCAGACUCCUACGGGAGGCAGCAGUGGGGAAUAUUGGACAAUGGGCGAAAGCCUGACCCAGCAAUGCCGCGUGAGUGAUGAAGGCCUUAGGGUUGUAAAGCUCUUCUACCCGGGAUGAUAAUGACAGUACCGGGAGAAUAAGCUCCGGCUAACUCCGUG